GAACGGGUGAGUAAUAUAUCGGAACGUACCUAGAAGUGGGGGAUAACGCAGCGAAAGUUGCGCUAAUACCGCAUAUUCUCUAAGGAGGAAAGUGGGAUUCGCAAGAACCUCAUGCUCGUGGAGCGGCCGAUAUCUGAUUAGCUAGUUGGUAGGGUAAAAGCCUACCAAGGCAUCGAUCAGUAGCUGGUCUGAGAGGACGACCAGCCACACUGGAACUGAGACACGGUCCAGACUCCUACGGGAGGCAGCAGUGGGGAAUUUUGGACAAUGGGCGAAAGCCUGAUCCAGCAAUGCCGCGUGAGUGAAGAAGGCCUUCGGGUUGUAAAGCUCUUUUGUCAGGGAAGAAACGGUGGACUCUAAUACAGGCCACUAAUGACGGUACCCGAAGAAUAAGCACCGGCUAACUACGUGCCAGCAGCCGCGGUAAUACGUAGGGUGCAAGCGUUAAUCGGAAUUACUGGGCGUAAAGCGUGCGCAGGCGGUUUUGUAAGUCUGACGUGAAAUCCCCGGGCUCAACCUGGGAAUUGCGUUGGAGACUGCAAGGCUAGAGUUUGGCAGAGGGGGGUAGAAUUCCACGUGUAGCAGUGAAAUGCGUAGAUAUGUGGGAGGGAACACCGA
rnacentral:rRNA from 1 species